rnacentral:rRNA from 1 species
GAUGAACGCUGGCGGCGUGCUUAACACAUGCAAGUCGAACGAUGAUCCGGUGCUUGCACCGGGGAUUAGUGGCGAACGGGUGAGUAACACGUGAGUAACCUGCCCUUAACUCUGGGAUAAGCCUGGGAAACUGGGUCUAAUACCGGAUAUGACUCCUCAUCGCAUGGUGGGGGGUGGAAAGCUUUUUUGUGGUUUUGGAUGGACUCGCGGCCUAUCAGCUUGUUGGUGAGGUAAUGGCUCACCAA